AUUGGCUGUCUGGGGAGGAGGAAGGCGAGCAUCAGUGAGAAGGAUAGGAGUGUGCUGGGAAGGAUCAACAGGUGAAUAAUGAUGUUUGACUUGGCUAGCCUGUCAAUGUUGGAAAGGCAGCUUGGACCAGGAACUGAGCUUUUAAACACAGCCCUGUUCUGCCACCUGGUGGCUAAAGGUGGAAAGUGCAACAAUAGAGGUGUGUCUGGGCCAGUGUGGGGAGGUCAGUGAAGCCUGCGGAAGAUGCGAACUUGAACCAGAAGUUGGGAAGACAUCUGAAGACAGAGGCGUUUGAAACAGACGGAGAGACACGUGCCAAGGCUGCCUUCUUAGGAGCAAAGAAGUGGACCAGGAGGCUCAUAGGAGUUGCAGCUUUAUGGGCUGGCCCUCCAACACUUGACUUUGGGAUUGAUUCUCAACAAAACACGAACUCUUCUUCACUAUUGGUGCUGUGAGGUGCAGUUCCAAGAAUAGGGCUGCAAACCCACGAUGGGUAGCUGCCUUUGGGAGAGAGAGGUGUUUGGCAGAAUUGGUAGAACUUCUGGCGUGGACCAUUUCCUAGUGAAGAAAGCUGAGGAUAAAGAGCUGCUGAAUGAAGAGCCUCUGCCUUGCAUUUGGAGGGCUGCUGAAACCGCAUAACCAGCCCAAGCUGCUACCAGCCUCCUGCCUCACUGCUGUCUUUGCAGAUUUAAUACUUUAGUGAGGGGCUGGGGUCAUACUGCUGAGCCCACAAAUAGUUGCUUGACCUUGAACCGUGAAACCAGUUUGCAAAUCUUUAGUUGUGCACUGUUGAGAUGUGUCCACAACUUUGGUCUUGAUUUCCAUCCUCCCUUCCUCCCUCCCUCCUUCUCUCUGUCUUUCUUUUCCUCCUUCUCUCCCCCUCCUUUCUCCCUCCCUCCCUUCCUCCCUUUCAUUCUUUCUUUCUUUCUCUUUCUCUUUCUCUUUCUUCCUUUCUGAAGCAUAAAUCUUUCAGAGUGGGUGUGAUCACAGUCUGCGUAUCUAAUCUGUAUUCUUCAGUUUAGGCAUAUAGCCAGGAAAAUCACGCCAAUGCAGUGUAUUUACAUGUUUCUGGUUUUAUGGCUAAGAAGCUUUGGUAGAUAGAUUUAGAGAAAUGAUACUUUAAGCAAGAAAACAACAUGUGUGUAUCUUGGAGUUGGUGGUGCAGAAUGGUUUGGCAGGGGGGCGGAUCUCUUGACUCUGCAACUGCUUAGUUUUAAGACGUGGACAAAAUUCUUGGGUGUGCAGUUGUCUUAUUUGUUGAGGUGAGUGAGUGAAUUCUAAAAUCACUCACAACACUGAAAUUUUACUGUGGAUUUGAACAUUCUACUCUCUUCCCUCCAAAUCAUUUGUAUAUUUUAACUUGAAGCUCUGAAUUGAUGAAAAUAGAUGAC